AAAGUCGUAACAAGGUUUCCGUAGGUGAACCUGCGGAAGGAUCAUUACAGAGUUCAUGCCCCCACGGGUAGAUCUCCCACCCUUGAAAUAUUAUACCUUUGUUGCUUUGGCGGGCCGCCUCGGCUACUGGCUCCGGCUAGUAAGUGCCCGCCAAAGAACCCCCAAACUCUGAAUAUUAGUGUCGUCCGAGUUACUAUAUAAUAGUUAAAACUUUCAACAACGGAUCUCUUGGUUCUG
rnacentral:misc_RNA from 1 species